rnacentral:lncRNA from 1 species
GUGAAAGUGUGGUGUGAGCUUCAUUUUCUUUCAAAAGUGCCGAACUGCAAUCAAGAGUAAUUUACAUAAAAGACAGCAGUUAUUUUUGUAAAAUUACUUCCUAAGAAGAGACCCUGUAGAAGAAACCACCAAUGUUCAUAGUCCCUUAUCUGGAGUAAGAUUUUCCAGUGGAUUCUCAAGGACAUAAGGUUUUCCUUGUAUGCAGAAGUUAUGGUGAGAAAUCAAGUAUGCAGAAGCAUCUAUCAUCACCUGCUUGGUAGAUCUGAAGAUGACAGGUAACUUGUCAACAUAUUGUCAACAUACACUUUCCUUUCCUUCCGCUGUAGCAGCCUGGCAGCUUCUGUACACACUUUAUUGUGCAGGUGCUUUCUUUUGGCAGACAUGUUCAGAUAAUAGAGCAAUCCAAUCAAAACAUCAGUGAGACUCCCUGACAGAACAUU